AGAUUGAACGCUGGCGGCAUGCCUUACACAUGCAAGUCGAACGGCAGCACGGACUUCGGUCUGGUGGCGAGUGGCGAACGGGUGAGUAAUAUAUCGGAACGUACCCUGGAGUGGGGGAUAACGCAGCGAAAGUUGCGCUAAUACCGCAUACGAUCUACGGAUGAAAGUGGGGGAUUCGCAAGAACCUCAUGCUCGUGGAGCGGCCGAUAUCUGAUUAGCUAGUUGGUAGGGUAAAAGCCUACCAAGGCAUCGAUCAGUAGCUGGUCUGAGAGGACGACCAGCCACACUGGGACUGAGACACGGCCCAGACCUCCGUACGGGAGGCAGCGAGGUGGGGGUAAUUUUGGACGAAGUGGGGGGACCAACCCUGACUCCAGCAAUCGCCGCGUGAGUGAAGGAAGCCGUUGGUUGUAA
rnacentral:rRNA from 1 species